CUGGAACUUUGCCUGAUCAGA
rnacentral:miRNA from 1 species